rnacentral:lncRNA from 1 species
CAGGUGUGGAAAGCACCGAUGCAGGUGGUACCGUUUGACUGUGAGCCUCAGCACGGACCCAGCCCCAGCACGGACCCAGCCUCAGCGUUCCUCUCUCCAGUGGAAAGCUUGGACAGGUCGCGUCUCUGGAUCUGUAGAGACACAAACUCAAGUCAGUUCUCCAUCCGGAACUGUCAGUGGCAGGCCAUGGUGCCCGGCAGCAGGCAUCUCAGGCUACUGGCAGCCGAGGGGCUCCUGCAGGGCAGAGGGCCAGGGCACUGCCCUGGCACUGUCCAAGGUUCAAAUCCCACAGCUCCACGUAUUCUCCAUGCGACUCUGACUUCUCACAGCCACAGCUUUCACUGGCGCAAAACGCAGAUAAUAAUUGUGUGAGGCGCAGGCUGGCACAGGCGGGCUCUCAACAAAUCAGGCCUAUUGUUAUUAGCAACGGAGGACCUCGCAAAUUCCGAGAGUCUGGUGAGUGGAGGACACCUAGCUGGCCAGCAGCCUUGUGGUGCAACAUUUUGCCAGCCCUGGUGACCGCUUGUGAAGGAAGAAUAAAACUCGCCCCACGUGCCACUAGUCCAAGGCUGGCCUUGCAGGGGCUCACCUGGAGACCCCAGACUCGGGGUGCUUGUCUAGGACCCCGAGAGCUCCCCUUUCGCAGCUCCACCUGCUGCACUGCUGCUGCUCCCCCCAGUCAGCUUCGGAGGAGCAUUAUUGCUUUACUUCUUGAAACAAGACCGAGCUGGCCUUGACCCACGGCAUUUGCAGGGAGGGAGAAGAGGUGGGCCUCGCAGAAGGGCUCCUUCCGUGAAGCCAAGAUGCAGGGCGGCUGGGAAACGCUGGUGCCAGGGAAGCUGGAACUCCCUCUGCUCCCUCUUGCCCUGGUCCCGCUGCCCUGGGAUGUCUCUCCCUCUCUCACAUUCAGAGACACGAGCACAAGUAGACCGUGGUGUCCUGCACGGAGUGUGAAUCUCGGCCCCAAACACUCCAUCACCAGCUGGAGCAGCUGCCGGGGCUUCUCUGGUCCUCGGUCUGCUCAUCUGUAAAUCGGCCUCACCAGAAGCAGAUGUCGGCGCCACACUUUCUGUUCAGCCUGCAGAACUGGGAUCC